ACCUUAAUGGCUCAAUUGGAUAGAGCGAUUCACUACGAAUGAAUAGAUUCCCGGUUCAAGUCCGGGUUAAGGUA
rnacentral:tRNA from 1 species